UGGGGAAUAUUGCACAAUGGGCGCAAGCCUGAUGCAGCCAUGCCGCGUGUGUGAAGAAGGCCUUCGGGUUGUAAAGCACUUUCAGCGGGGAGGAAGGCGAUAAGGUUAAUAACCUUGUCGAUUGACGUUACCCGCAGAAGAAGCACCGGCUAACUCCGUGCCAGCAGCCGCGGUAAUACGGAGGGUGCAAGCGUUAAUCGGAAUUACUGGGCGUAAAGCGCACGCAGGCGGUCUGUCAAGUCGGAUGUGAAAUCCCCGGGCUCAACCUGGGAACUGCAUUCGAAACUGGCAGGCUCGAGUCUUGUAGAGGGGGGUAGAAUUCCAGGUGUAGCGGUGAAAUGCGUAGAGAUCUGGAGGAAUACCGGUGGCGAAGGCGGCCCCCUGGACAAAGACUGACGCUCAGGUGCGAAAGCGUGGGGAGCAAACAGG
rnacentral:rRNA from 1 species